GACGAACGCUGGCGGCGCGCCUAACACAUGCAAGUCGAACGAGAGAUGAGGAGCUUGCUCUUCAAAUCGAGUGGCGAACGGGUGAGUAACGCGUGAGGAACCUGCCUCAAAGAGGGGGACAACAGUUGGAAACGACUGCUAAUACCGCAUAAGCCCACGGCUCGGCAUCGAGCAGGAGGGAAAAGGAGCAAUCCGCUUUGAGAUGGCCUCGCGUCCGAUUAGCUAGUUGGUGAGGUAACGGCCCACCAAGGCAACGAGUCGGUAGCCGGACUGAGAGGUUGAACGGCCACAUUGGGACUGAGACACGGCCCAGACUCCUACGGGAGGCAGCAGUGGGGAAUAUUGCACAAUGGGGGAGACCCUGAUGCAGCAACGCCGCGUGAGUGAAGAAGUAUUUCGGUAUGUAAAGCUCUAUCAGCAGGAAAGAAAAUGACGGUACCUGACUAAGAAGCCCCGGCUAACUACGUG
rnacentral:rRNA from 1 species